GGAUGAACGCUGGCGGCGUGCUUAAUACAUGCAAGUCGAACGGAGACUGUAGCAAUACUGUCUUAGUGGCGAACGGGUGAGUAACGCGUUGGUGACCCGCCCCGAAGAGGGGGAUAACAGUCCGAAAGGAUUGCUAAUACCCCAUGUGGUCGUUUGGAUUAGAUGCCUUACGACUAAACGGAUUUAUUCGCUUCGGGAGGGGCCUGCGUCCCAUCAGCUAGUUGGUAGGGUAAUAGCCUACCAAGGCGAUGACGGGUAGGGGACCUGAGAGGGUGGCCCCCCACAAUGGAACUGAAACACGGUCCAUACACCUACGGGUGGCAGCAGUAGGGAAUAUUGGUAAUCUGGGAAACCGGGAACCAGCGACGCCGCGUGAGCGAAGAAGGCCUUCGGGUCGUAAAGCUCUUUUCCGGGGGAUGAGGUAGGACAGUACCCUGGGAAUAAGUCUCGGCUAACUACGUGCCAGCAGCCGCGGUAAGACGUAGGAGGCGAGCGUUAUCCGGAUUUAUUGGGCGUAAAGGGCAAGUAGGCGGUUGUCAAAGUUGGGCGUGACAGCUCCCGGCUCAACUGGGGGUAGGCGUUCAAAACUAGGCGACUAGAGGGCAGGAGAGGGAAGUGGAAUUCCCAGUGUAGCGGUGGAAUGCUCAGAUAUUGGGAAGAACACCAGUGGCGAAGGCGGCUUCCUGGUCUGCACCUGACGCUGAGAGGCGAAAGCUAGGGGAGCGAACGGGCUUAGAUACCCCGGUAGUCCUAGCCGUAAACGUUGGAUACUAGGUAUUGGGGGAGGAGAGUCUUCCAGUGCCGAAGCAAACGCGUUAAGUAUCCCGCCUGGGGACUACGGCCGCAAGGUUAAAACUCAAAGGAAUUGACGGGGGCCCGCACAAGCAGCGGAGCGUGUGGUUUAAUUCGAUGCAACACGAAGAACCUUACCUGGGCUUGACGAGCAGGUAGUAGGGGACCGAAAGGCGACCGAUCCUUCGGGGAGCCUGCACAGGUGCUGCAUGGCUGUCGUCAGCUCGUGUCGUGAGAUGUUCGGUUAAGUCCGCUAACGAGCGCAACCCGCGCUGUGUGUUACAAGUGUCACACAGUACCGCCGGUAUUAAGUCGGAGGAAGGUGCGGAUGACGUCAAGUCAGCAUGACCUUUAUAUCCAGGGCUACACACACGCUACAAUGGUCAGCACAAUAGGUUGCCAAGCCGCAAGGCGGAGCCAAUCCUCCAAAGCUGGCCUCAGUUCAGAUUGCAGGCUGCAACUCGCCUGCAUGAAGUCGGAGUUGCUAGUAACCGCAGGUCAGCAUACUGCGGUGAAUACGUUCCCGGGGAU
rnacentral:rRNA from 1 species